CGGGUUGUAAAGCACUUUCAGUCGUGAGGAAGGUGGUGUAGUUAAUAGCUGCAUCAUUUGACGUUAGCGACAGAAGAAAGCACCGGCUAACUCCGUGCCAGCAGCCGCGGUAAUACGGAGGGUGCGAGCGUAAUCGGAAUUACUGGCGUAAAGCGCAUGCAGGUGGUUGUUAAGUCAGAUGUGAAAGACCCGGGGCGUCAACCUCGGAAUUGCAUUUGUAAACUAGGCAGACUAGAGUACUGUAGAGGGGGGUAGGAAUUUCUAGGUGUAGCGGUGAAAUAGCGUAGAGAUCUGAAGGAAUACCGGUGGCGAAGGCGGCCCCCUCGGACAGAUACUGACACUCAGAUGCGAAAGCGUGGGGAGCAAACAGGAUUAGAUACCCUGGUAG
rnacentral:rRNA from 1 species